GCUGCAGGAACUCGCAUGGAGAAUGGCGGCGGCGCGCUGCCUCGAGGAGAUCAUCCACAGCCGGCUGGGGCUUGAGAUCUCGUUCUCCGGUGGCAGCGGGAGUAGGGACCGGCUCGAAACCUCCCCCACCACCACGACCACUCCUCCCUCGGCAAGGAGCGUCAUAUCCCAACAUCAACCAGGAGUAGCACACAAUGGCAUGUAUCUCUGAUUUUGGAAGCUAAUGGACUAGAGCUAAAAUAAUCCGUCAGUGCUUGGGAUCCUAUUGAGAUUAGUAGAAUGCAUGAAUAUUGAGCUUGACAAGAACCCCACCUUUCGAUGAGACAGUUCAACAACAAC